AUUGUGGAAUUCACCAAGGAGGAAUGGAAGCUACUGACCUCUGCUCAGAGGACUCUGUAUAAGGAUGUGAUACUGGAAAACUAUAGUCACCUGGUCUCAGUGGGUGAGGAAAACUUCCGCAGGUUACCAUGUGAAUAAACCAAAUGCGGUCUUCAAGUUGAAGCAAGGAAAAGAGCCGUGGAUAUUAGAAGUAGAAAUUCCACAUCAGGUCUUGCCCUAGUUUCAAUCUUGUUGUCCAGGCUGGAGUCCAAUGUUGCC